UUCCUUUUAGUUCCUCAACAAAUGAGCAGCAAUGUGGCUGCCUAGGACAGUGCCUCAGGCUCCCUGUUUGGGGAAGGACAGGAGCUCUGAGCAGGAUGCUGGGGAUGUCCCUGGACACCACGGCCACUGACAAGAAACCACCUACUGUUUCUGUAGUCUUUGUGGCUCAGUCUUGCUCUCCUGAGAUCAUAGACCAUUCCAGAAGCAACAGUAGAUGCAUGUUUAGAGGUGACUUCUGCUGGGCACCCUGGAAGGACCUGGAAGCCUUACCUCUCUCCACGUGGUGGACCGUUGUCAUUGGAAGAGUUUCAGUAUCACCUGCUGAACACAGAAGAGAACCAGAACAUUUCCUCUCU